AGAUUGAACGCUGGCGGAAUGCUUUACACAUGCAAGUCGAACGGCAGCACGGGGGCAACUCUGGUGGCGAGUGGCGAACGGGUGAGUAACAUAUCGGAACGUACCCCGUCGUGGGGGAUAACUCUCCGAAAGGAGGGCUAAUACCGCAUACGACCUGAGGGUGAAAGCGGGGGACCUGCAAGGGCCUCGCGCGAUGGGAGCGGCCGAUAUCGGAUUAGCUAGUUGGUGAGGUAAAGGCUCACCAAGGCGACGAUCCGUAGCGGGUCUGAGAGGACGACCCGCCACACUGGAACUGAGACACGGUCCAGACUCCUACGGGAGGCAGCAGUGGGGAAUUUGGACAAUGGGGGCAACCUGAUCAGCCAUUCCGCGUGAGUGAAGAAGGCCUUGGUUGUAAGCUCUUCA
rnacentral:rRNA from 1 species